rnacentral:rRNA from 1 species
AUUGAACGCUGGCGGCAGGCUUAACACAUGCAAGUCGAACGAGUGGCGGACGGGUGAGUAAUGCUUGGGAAUCUAGCUUAUGGAGGGGGAUAACUACGGGAAACUGUAGCUAAUACCGCUUACCAUAGGAUGAGCCCAAGUGGGAUUAGGUAGUUGGUGAGGUAAAGGCUAACCAAGCCGACGAUCUCUAGCUGGUCUGAGAGGUUGACCAGCCACACUGGGACUGUGACACGGCCCAGACUCCUACGGGAGGCAGCAGUUGGGAAUAUUGCGCAAUGGGGGCAACCCUGACGCAGCCAUGCCGCGUGAGUGAAGAAGGCCUUCGGGUUGUAAAGUACUUUCAGCGGGGAGGCGUUACCCGCAGAAGAAGCACCGGCUAACUCCGUGCCAGCAGCCGCGGUAAUUC